UUACCAGAUAUGUUAUAUAUAUAUGAUCACGAAACGUAGUGAGUUAAAUAUAAUUAGUAGUAGCUAUUACCUGUUACGUAGCAUAGUAACAUGAUAGUUUUAUUUUGCAGUGAUAGGCCUGUCAAGCUACUUGAUAUCUUGUUGUACAAGAAAUAUAUUUAGUAUUAAGACAUACUAUUAAAGUUAAGCUUUGUAGUCUAUAUAAAUAGUAAAAAUUCUUUGAAGUUAUAGUUUAAUCAUUAAACUGUUAUCAACUAGAACAUAAAUAAUGUGUAUUUAUAUUUAAUAUUGUGCUAUACCAUUUUAUUUAUAAUAUAAAUAAUGUAAGUAUGAGUAAUAAAUAAAAUAUAGCAAAGGAAUUCGGCAAAUGUGUUGCUCAACUGUUUACCAAAAACGUAACUAUAUGUUAUAAUAUAUAGCUUUUCUGCUCAAUGGCAAGCUAAAUAGCCGCAGUACUCUGACUGUGCAAAGGUAGCAUAAUCAAUUGGCUUUUAAUUAAAGUCUGGGAUGAAUGAAAGCAUGGGUAACGGCUGUCUUACUGCUAAAUUAUAUUGAAGUUAGUAAGUAAGUGAAAAUACUUGCACCUUAAAAAAGACGAGAAGACCCUAGAAACUUGUGUAAUUAUUUUGUUGGGGCGACAGAAUUACAAAAAACUAAUUUUAUUAUACGUGACGUUGACAGAUAGAUUAAGUUACUCUAGGGAUAACAGCAUAAUUUUUAUAGUUUGUGACCUCGAUGUUGGACUAGGUAAAUAAUUUUUUAGCAGGAAAUUUAAAUGCUCUGUUCGAGCAGUAGAACCUACAUGAUCUGAGUU
rnacentral:rRNA from 1 species